CCCUUAGAUGUUCUGGGCUGCACGCGCGCUACACUGACAUGUCCAGCGAGCUCCCAACCUGCUCGGCAAAGAAUGGGUACCCUUUUUAACGCAUGUCGUGAUGGGGAUAGAUUAUUGCAAUUGUUGAUCUUGAACGAGGAAUUCCUAGUAAGUGCAAGUCAUUAGCUUGUGCUGAAUACGUCCCUGCCCUUUGUACACACCGCCCGUCGCUCCUACCGAUUGAGUGCUCCGGUGAACAAUUUGGACUGCUUUGAUUCAAUUAGAAUUUGAAGCGGAAAGUUUAGUGAACCUUAUCACUUAGAGGAAGGAGAAGUCGUAACA
rnacentral:rRNA from 1 species